rnacentral:rRNA from 1 species
CCUACGGGCGGCUGCAGUGGGGAAUAUUGGACAAUGGGCGAAAGCCUGAUCCAGCCAUGCCGCGUGUGUGAAGAAGGCCUUCGGGUUGUAAAGCACUUUCAGUGGGGAAGAAAGCCUUGGGGCUAAUACCCUCGAGGAAGGACAUCACCCACAGAAGAAGCACCGGCUAACUCCGUGCCAGCAGCCGCGGUAAUACGGAGGGUGCGAGCGUUAAUCGGAAUUACUGGGCGUAAAGCGCGCGUAGGCGGUCUGAUAAGCCGGUUGUGAAAGCCCCGGGCUCAACCUGGGAACGGCAUCCGGAACUGUCAGGCUAGAGUGCAGGAGAGGAAGGUAGAAUUCCCGGUGUAGCGGUGAAAUGCGUAGAGAUCGGGAGGAAUACCAGUGGCGAAGGCGGCCUUCUGGACUGACACUGACGCUGAGGUGCGAAAGCGUGGGUAGCAAACAGGAUUAGAUACCCUAGUAU